rnacentral:rRNA from 1 species
UGAAGAACGCAGCGAAAUGCGAUACCUAGUGUGAAUUGCAGAAUUCCGCGAAUCAUCGAGUUUUUGAACGCAAGUUGCGCCCGAGGCUCGUACCGAGGGCAUGUCUGUYUKAGCGUCCA